rnacentral:rRNA from 1 species
CACGGUGGAUGCCUAGGCAGUAAGAGGCGAUGAAGGACGUAGUAGCCUGCGAAAAAGCUUCGGGGAGUUGGCAAACGAGCAUUGAUCCGAAGAUAUCCGAAUGGGGAAAACCCAGCUGAAUUUAUUCAGUUAUUAUUAUCUGAAUUCAUAGGGUAAUAAGGCGAACGCAGGGAACUGAAACAUCUAAGUACCUGUAGGAAAAGAAAUCAACCGAGAUUCUGUUAGUAGCGGCGAGCGAAAGCGGAGCAGCCCAGUUACACAAGCUUGUAUAUUUUAGUUGAACGUUUUGGAAAAGACGGCGAUACAGGGUGAUAGCCCCGUAAACGAAAAGUAUAUAAGUGGGUAACGAUGAGUAGAUCGGGACACGAGAAAUCCCGUUUGAAUAUGGGGGGACCAUCCUCCAAGGCUAAAUACUACUUACUGACCGAUAGUGAACCAGUACCGUGAGGGAAGGU